UAGUCCAGCCAUCACUGCUUAUAAAAUUUCCUUUAUGGUCUGCACGAUGCAAAGCUCUCCCUACUUUUUUCCAUAUUUUCCAAUUUAGUUUCACUUUUCUUUCUGGCUUAAACCAAUGACAGUGCUUAGUCACAACUUUAAGUAAUUCCCUUAGGCUUCUAGUUUUAACAGGAAUUUUAGUGGAAGCAAUUAAUGCUUUCUGUAUGGCUAUAUAUUGAUCUUCUAGAGAAGAAUUGAGUUGAAUACUCAUACUAUUCCCACCCAUGUAUCUUGUUAAUCUGGAAACAUCCCAUGUGCUCUGCAUGGCCACAGAACUGUUCCAGUUACAGGGUGCUCAAGCCUACCUCAAGCAGCUUCAGCGAAGAUCUCUCUGAGGCGUCCUGGCAGAGGCAGCUGUUCUCCAACCUGGCAUGCAGAAAGACUUCCUGCUCCUUUGCGAUCCCCUUCUCCUGCCAACUAUGACAAUAGUGAUCUUCUGGAGUAUGAGAUGUUAACCACAAUGCUGAUAUGACUGGAGGCCUCUGCUGAUUUCUCAAACCCUGGAGGGUGGAGACCCUAAAUAUCUCUUCAGCCCUCUUAAAAGGUUUUCGAGGAAGCCACCAUUGGCCCUUCAGUGGAUUCAGCUCUUCAAGCACUUUUGUUACAGGUUCAGUAGACUUUCCAUGCCUGACCUGCCCCCUAUGAUGUUGGUCACUUUUGUUGGUCAUACUGCUUUGCCUGGGUCUUUAGAUGAAGGCAAUGUCCUAGCUGAUUCUCUCUGUCGUGUGGACUUGGUUAUAUUGUCUAUGACUGAUAAGGCCCAAGCUUCUCAUGCAGUUCAUCAUCAAAAGGCAUGUACCCUGUGUCUUCAGUUUGGUAUUUAGUGAGAAGAAUCCAGACAGAUUAUGAAGCAAUGUUCUUAUUGCUUAUCUCAUGUUCCAGCACCCCAUUAUGGGAUUAAUCCUCGAGACCUUUUGUGCCUAGCACAUGCUUAUCAGCAUUAGGUGUUCAGAUAUCAUUUUCUUUUCUUUUUUCUUUUUUUUUUACUUUCUAUUUUUUAUUAAGUCUUUUGUACAUAGAUUAUAACAGAUAUCAUUUUCAUUGAGAAUAAAAUUUCUUAGUGAGCUUUCUAACAGCUGAGAUAAAAAUUGAUCAUCUUUUUUUUCUGAGACCAAGUAUCACUAUGUCACCCUUUGUAGAGUGCCAUGGUUUUACAGCUCCCAGCAACCUCAAACUCUUGGACUUAAGUGAACUUCAUAAUGGUGACAUUUUAUAUUAUUAAAGAACAAUGAUUCUCUUGCCUCUUCCUUUUAAGUAAAAAAAAUUGAUAAUCUUGUAACAGGAGACAUCCCAUGGGCCAUUUAAUAAUAAGCAAGCAAAGUUUAUUUGAAGCCUAGCUUUUGUUCACUCAGAAAACCUUAGGGAAGCUUUUGAAACAGGAAUUACAGAUGACACUCAUCAAUAGAAGAGUGUCCUGUGAGUUGGUAUAACCUAGUUAAAUACUGCCCCUUUAUUGGGAAUCUUUCAAACCUUUUUUGCUGAAACUCUAAUUUCUCGAAUGUUAUUGUUUACCCAAAUGUGUAUUGUGAAAGAGGGAUUAGGCAAAUUUAAGAGAUUGCUUUAAUACUGGACAUAUAAUGCAAGGUUUGGUAAUAUUUCCCAUGCAUAGAUGAUCAUGGAAAAUUUGUGUUGAGGUAUAUACAUCUUGCAGGUAUUAUUUGAAAUCCAGUGAAAGAAAUGUUGAUUUAGGGGUAAUAAUUUAGAUCAUUAACUCAAUAAAAAUAUUGAAAAUGUUUACUAUUAUAACUUAGGGUGGGGGAUACAGCAAUAUUAAUAAUAGAUGCUGCCUCGCCCAACAAGAAGCUCUUGGUUUAGAUGAGAAACAGUAAAAUAAUUAAAAUAUACUAUGGUAAAUGCUUGUGACAGAAGCAAAGAUUCUUGAAAGCAGUAAAUGUCUGAAUUGAGUUUUGGAGGUCACCUGAGUUUAUGUGAUGAGGCAGAUGAGAGGUGUUUCCAAGGGAAGGGAGUGGCACAUUGGAAAGCACUAAGUACUAAGAAGGAAGGGGCUACUUUUUAUUUAUUUUCUGUAUUAUGUGUAAAAUUUUUGGACGUUGGAUAAGGUUUUCCACUUAUUAAAGUGUGUAAUUUUGUCAAGUAUCAUAUUAAUUGUUUUUGCUGUAUUACAGAAGGACACCACAUCACUCUUCCUUGCUUUGAAAAAAUCCAUCCAAAUGUGGUGGAACUUUUAAUUAAGAAUAAAGUGAAUAUACAUCUAGUUGAUGGAUAUCAGAGUUAUAGCAAUUAGUUCUUUUUUUAAAACCUGAGUGGUGUUCUAUAGUGGGUAUAGUCAUUUUCCUCAGAAAUGUUAAAUAAAUAAUAAAAUCUUCUCAUAAUUAUUGGGAUAUAGUGAAAAAUAUCAGCACAUAUCUUCAGUUAGAUCAAUAUUCUUUAAAGAAAAUAACUUGAAGCAAAGACUCACUGAGUUAUUC